UUCAGGUUCACUGAGACGAAAGUUCUUCACGGAGACGAUAUACGGCGGCAAGAGGAGGAGAAAGGCUGAAAGGAGGGGGGCUCUCUUCGCCGCUUGGCUCCACUCACGCCGCUCAGCCGAGGCGGGGCGUGGGUUCAAGACUCCACGGCAACAGCUGAUGUAACCUUCUGCUUCAGUCAAGGUAGGCGAGGCGUCUGGUGUUCCCAAGGGCAGCAGCGGUGAGCCUCGGGGGACUGGGCUGUGUGGAGACCAGGUGAGGCUUUGCAGG